rnacentral:misc_RNA from 1 species
GAUGAAGAACGUAGCGAAAUGCGAUACGUAAUAUGAAUUGCAGAAUUCAGUGAAUCAUCGAAUCUUUGAACGCAUAUUGCGCUCUCUGGUAUUCCGGAGAGCAUGCUUGUUUGAGUAUCAGUAAACACCUCAACUCCCUUUUCUUUUUUGAAAUUGGAGCUGGACUUGAGUGAUCCCAACGCUUUCUUCCAAGAAAGUGGCGGGUUGCUUGAAAUGCCGGUGCAGCUGAACUUUUCUCUGAGCUAUAAGCAUAUCUAUUUAGUCUGCCUAAAAAACAGAUUAUUACCUUUGCUGCAGCUAACAUAAAGGAGACUAGUUCUUGUGCUGACUGAUGCAGGAUUCACAGAGACAGCUUCGGCUGACUUUGUAAACUCGAUCUCAAAUCAAGUAAGACUACCCGCUGAACUUAAGCAUAUCAAUAAGCGGAGGA